rnacentral:lncRNA from 10 species
AAUGGGAUAACUGGCCAUCCUUCCCAGAACAUUUAGACUCCUGACUCCCAGACCUGGAGUGACAGUUUCUCAUGUUAAAAUGAUCAGAAUAUCUGGCGGAUGAUCUCUCGUCGCUCGGGGACAAGUUUGUACUGGAUAACCUCCUCCAGCUCGGACAGCAUGUGGCAAGAAACCAUGGCCUGAUGGAAGCAAAUCGCAUUCCAAACUAAUUACUGCACGAACAAUCCAAAAGACAGGAUUAAUUUAAAUCAUUCCUUCUGGUGUCAGGGUAUCUGCCGAUCAGAGAAAACAGGCAUGUUUCCAGCAGCCUGGAUGAAAAGAGAAAUUCGCUGAAGAAGGGCAUUUUCCCAGAACUGAAUGGCUUGAGAGGAGGUAUUAUCCAAUUUCUCAUCGAAGACAGAAAUGUAUGGCAUCCAAAACUUUAACAUCUAUCUAAGGAUGGGGCUGGUUACCAGAAAGACCAAGUAAUUAUCGGGUUUGAACUUUCAGCCCUGUCCACUGACAUCCAGGAAAGGUGAAGAGGUUGAAAAUGAAAGGCAAUAAAAACUCUUGAACAAUGAGCUUCCAGGUUGAUGAAGGUGCUGGGAGGGUGAAGGUAAACCCCAGUACCACAGGACAGAAGCUUCUGCACUCCAGACCCUUCUAGACCUUCCCUCAUUGUACCUGUUCACCUCUAUCUUUUAUAAUACCCUUUAUAAUAAACAA